UGUCUGCCCUAUCAACUUUCGUCGGUACGGUAUUUGCCUACCGAGGUUCUUACGGGUGACGGGGAAUCAGGGUUCGAUUCCGGAGAGGGAGCCUGAGAAACGGCUACCACAUCCAAGGAAGGCAGCAGGCGCGCAAAUUACCCAUUCCCGACGCGGGGAGGUAGUGACGAAAAAUAACAAUGCAGGACUCGUUCGAGGCCCUGUAAUUGGAAUGAGUACACUUUAAAAGCUUUAACGAGUAUCCAUUGGAGGGCAAGUCUGGUGCCAGCAGCCGCGGUAAUUCCAGCUCCAAAAGUAUAUAUUUAAGUUGUUGCGGUUAAAAAGCUCGUAGUUGGAUUUUGGGCGCAGGCGGCCGGUCCGUCGCAAGGCGUGUACUGGACGUCCUGGCCUUCCCUCCGGUUCUCCGCCGGUGCUCUUGACUGAGUGUCGGCGGCGGCCGGAACGUUUACUUUGAAAAAAUUAGAGUGUUCAAAGCAGGCUCUCGAGCCUGGAUAAUGGUGCAUGGAAUAAUGGAAUAGGACCUCGGUUCUAUUUUGUUGGUUUUCGGAGCGCGAGGUAAUGAUUAAGAGGGACAGACGGGGGCAUUCGUACUGUGCCGUUAGAGGUGAAAUUCUUGGAUCGGCGCAAGACGAACGACUGCGAAAGCAUUUGCCAAGAAUGUUUUUCUUUAAU
rnacentral:ncRNA from 1 species